CCCGAGCGGCGCCUACGCUUCCUUCUAGAAUUCAUUCCUUGCCUGAGUGCUUUCUUCCCUUCAUCUCAUACAUUUGAAAUUUUCUUUGUGCACUGAGGAUGAGCAGAAAUCCAAAACCUAAUGGAGCAGGAAGGAGACGCUGCCCCCUGCGCCCCCCAAGAGCUGGAGUAUCUUCCAGACCUCUGAAGACUCGUGUUGCCUGAGGAAGCCCUGAAGUUAAGGAAGAGG